CGAACGAGUGACGACCGUGCUUGCACGGUCUGAUUACAUGGCGANCGGGUGAGUAACACGUGAGUAACCUGCCCUCCACUUCGGGAUAACCUCGGGAAAUCGUGGCUAAUACCGGAUAUGAAUCCUUGUCGCAUGGCGGGGGUUGGAAAGAUUUAUCGGUGGGGGAUGGACUCGCGGCCUAUCAGUUUGUUGGUGAGGUAAUGGCUCACCAAGACGAUGACGGGUAGCCGGCCUGAGAGGGCGACCGGCCACACUGGGACUGAGACACGGCCCAGACUCCUACGGGAGGCAGCAGUGGGGAAUAUUGCACAAUGGGCGAAAGCCUGAUGCAGCGACGCCGCGUGAGGGAUGACGGCCUUCGGGUUGUAAACCUCUUUCAGUAGGGAAGAAGCGAGAGUGACGGUACCUGCAGAAGAAGCGCCGGCUAACUACGUGCCAGCAGCCGCGGUAAUACGUAGGGCGCAAGCGUUGUCCGGAAUUAUUGGGCGUAAAGAGCUUGUAGGUGGCUUGUCGCGUCUGCCGUGAAAACCCGAGGCUCAACCUCGGGCGUGCGGUGGGUACGGGCAGGCUAGAGUGUGGUAGGGAGACUGGAACUCCUGGUGUAGCGGUGAAAUGCGCAGAUAUCAGGAAGAACACCGAUGGCGAAGGCAAGUCUCUGGGCAUACUGACACUGA
rnacentral:rRNA from 1 species